GAUGAACGCUGGCGGCGUGCCUAAUACAUGCAAGUCGAGCGAACAGACGAGGAGCUUGCUCCUCUGACGUUAGCGGCGGACGGGUGAGUAACACGUGGAUAACCUACCUAUAAGACUGGGAUAACUUCGGGAAACCGGAGCUAAUACCGGAUAAUAUAUUGAACCGCAUGGUUCAAUAGUGAAAGACGGUUUUGCUGUCACUUAUAGAUGGAUCCGCGCCGCAUUAGCUAGUUGGUAAGGUAACGGCUUACCAAGGCGACGAUGCGUAGCCGACCUGAGAGGGUGAUCGGCCGCACUGGAACUGAGACACGGUCCAGACUCCUACGGGAGGCAGCAGUAGGGAAUCUUACGCAAUGGGCGAAAGCCUGACGGAGCAACGCCGCGUGAGUGAUGAAGGUCUUCGGAUCGUAAAACUCUGUUAUUAGGGAAGAACAAAUGUGUAAGUAACUAUGCACGUCUUGACGGUACCUAAUCAGAAAGCCACGGCUAACUACGUG
rnacentral:rRNA from 1 species